AAAACCCCAAUUUUUUGGUUUUCCCUCUGAUAUUUUUCCUUUGUCUCAGACCCAUACCACAAAUGACCCCAAUCCCCUCUCUCUCCUCUCAGACCCCAAUCCUUAAACCCCAAACCCUGAACCUCUAACCUUUGUAAGUCUCCCUCUCUCUUCUCUCAGACCCCAAACCCCAAAUCAUAAACGACUGAACCCCAAACCUCUGCAACUCUCCCUCUCUUCUCUUAGACCGAUCAUCCUCUCGAGCAAUGGAGAACUCCGAUCAUACUCUCGGCAGCUCCAUCCUCUCGGGCAGCUCCAUCGUAGGUGACGUCCCCACCUCUCCGAUCAUCGUAGGUGGCAGAUGACCAGAGUGAGUUGGAAAGAACAUAAGCAAGAAUAAGUGUUACUGCUUCCUUAAAUUUCCCAGCCUUCUCAAGAAAAUCUAUCACAACUAGUAUAUCUCCUCUGAGGUAUUGUGUUGCCUCUUGCAGAUGUUGUGCAUUACAAAAAUGAAGAUGUGAUCAAACUUUUAGAGGAACAUGGUCCAAAGCCUCCGAUGGCUCAUCACAUGCAUGUUAAAAAUUCAUGCGAUGUCCCCGAGUAUGAGAUUGAUCCCAAGGAGCUUGUUUUAUCUCAGAAAAUGAUAACCAAGGUCUUCUUCUUUGGAACCAAACAAGGCAUCGUUGGAUUGGGAAUAAAAAUUCUGAUAACCGGCCACUACAGCGAGAUCCCAAAUUAAGCCACACCCUCGCGAAGUCACCACAUCUUUCCCUCACUCACGGCCUUACCUCAAUCCCAGCGUGUGCUUCCCCACUGGCGUGCUCGUUCGUGAUUAGCACAUCUAUUAGUCUCUAGUUUACUACUAUGGAGAGAAUGUCGAGCAUCACCUUAGUUUAAAGAACUAAGACUUUUAAAUUGAGACUGACAGGCUAAACUCUACUUGGAUAUUUAAGAGAGCCAAGACAAUUAUAUAAAAGAACCAAUGCAACAAGAAAUUAUUCUUCAAGUUGUUGGGUAUUAUUUUCUUUCUUGCUUGUAAGAAUUAUGUACAUUGAGGAUUUGAUGUAUUAUUUAUAUUGAGAAUAAUGAAUUUUUAUUAAAAAUUAUUUAGUCUCAUGGGGAUUUGAUGUAUUAUUUACAUUUCAAUUGUAUGAUUAAAUGUUGUAUGUAUAUGAAUUUUUGUUAUGAUAAAUAGAAUUUUUUUUA